rnacentral:rRNA from 1 species
GAUGAACGCUGGCGGCGUGCUUAACACAUGCAAGUCGAACGAGAAGUGAAGACGGAAACCUUCGGGCGGAAGGCUUUAUUUCGAGUGGCGGACGGGUGAGUAACGCGUGGGUAACCUGCCUCAUACAGGGGGAUAACAGUUGGAAACGACUGUUAAUACCGCAUAAGACCACAGCACCGCAUGGUGCGGGGGUAAAAACUCCGGUGGUAUGAGAUGGACCCGCGUUCGAUUAGCCAGUUGGCGGGGUAACGGCCCACCAAAGCGACGAUCGAUAGCCGAUCUGAGAGGAUGACCGGCCACAUUGGGACUGAGACACGGCCCAAACUCCUACGGGAGGCAGCAGUGGGUAAUAUUGCACAAUGGGGGAAACCCUGAUGCAGCGACGCCGGGUGAGUGAAGAAGUAUUUCGGGAUGUAAAGCUCUAUCAGCAGGGAAGAAAAUGACGGUACCUGAGGAAGAAGCCCCGGCUAACUACGUG